rnacentral:lncRNA from 1 species
GCCACACCUGUGGCAUAUGAAAGUUCCCAGGCCAGGGGUUGAAUCUGAGCUGCAGCUGCAGUUUGCGCCACAGCCAUGGCAACGCCUGAUUUGAGCCGCAUCUGUGACCUGUGCAGCAGCUUGUGGCAACGUCAGAUCAUUAACCCACGGAGCAAGGUCUGGGAUCGAACCCCAUCCUCACAGACACGAUGUCAGGUUCUUAACGUGCUGAGCCACAAUAGGAACUCCUUUUUCUUUUUCUUUUUCUUCCUUUCUUUCUUUCUUUUAAUACUGCUUAUUAGCUUAGGCGUGGCUCUGGAGCUGGCCUUCCUGGGUUUGAGUCCCACCUCUUCUUCCCAACUGUAGCCUUGCCCAAAUUAUCUUUUCUGAAACUCUGUGUCCUCAUCUGUGAAAUGUGAUGAAAACAGCGUCUGCUGUGAAGAUUUAAGUAUUUAAUAUGUGGAUAAAUAUAAACUUUUCAGACCAGUAUGGUUACAUAGAGAGUACACAACAAAUAUUAGCGAUUUUUUUAACUGUUUUGAAAUCACGGAGACUCACUAGAAGUUGAAGAAAUGCCCAUCGACAGAGGACUGGAUAAAGAAGAUGUGGUACAUACACGCAAUGGAAUGUUAGUCGUAACAUAGAAUGAAAUAAUGCCGUUUGGAGCAACAUGGAUGGAUCUAGACAUUAUCACACUAAGUGAAGUAAGACAGAGAAAGGCAAACAUCAUAUGGUAUCAUUUGUAUGUGGAAUCUUAAAAAACAUAUAUAUAUAUACAAAUGAACUUAUUUCCAAAACAAAAAGAGACUCACAGGCACAAAAAACAAACUUAUGGCUACCAAAGCAGAAAGGGGGGUUGGAUUAAUAUAUACACACAUUACUAUAUGUAAAAUAGAUAACCAACAAGGACCUACUGUAUAACAGGAAACUAAACUCAGUAUUUUGUAGUAACCUAUAAGGGAAAAGAAUCUGAAAAAGUAUAUGCUUUUCUAAUUUUUUUAAAUUAAAAAAAUUUUUUUGAAUUGUUAUUUCCUCAAUACAAUUUUUUUUUCUACUGUACAGCGUGGUGACCCAGUUACACAUACAUGUACACAUUCUAUUUUCUCAGAUUAUCAUGCUCCAUCAUAAGAGACUAGACAGAGUUCCCAAUGCUACACAGCAGGAUCUCAUUGCUAAUCCAUUCCAAAGGCAAUAGUAUAUACUUUUCUAUAUCUGUAUUUCAUUAAAAAUUUUAAAAAAUGGAGUUCCCAUUGUGGCACAGUGGAAACGAAUCCCACUAGUAUCCAUGAGGGUGUGGGUUCGAUCCCUGGCCCUGCUCAGUGGGUUAAGGAUCAGCAUUGCUGUGAGCUGUGGUGUAGGUUGCAGAUGUGGCUUGCAGACAUGGCUUGGAUCCUGCUUUGCUGUGGCUGUGGCAUAGGCUGGCAGCUGUAGGUCUGAUUCAACCCCUAACCUGGGAACUUCCAUAUGCCAUGAGUGCCGCCCUAAAAAGCAAAAUAAAUAAAUAAAUAAAAAUAGUAUAGGAAUUUCCCAUGAAUCUACCCCAGGUUCAUUUGGUGAUAAUAUCUUCCAUAAUUAUAAUGCUUUAUCAAAUCCAAGAAAUUGACAUUGGUAUAACACUGUUAAUGGAACUAUAGGCUUCGUUUGGAUUUCACCCCUUUUUUCAUGCUCUUUUGUAUGUGCAUGUGUGUGUGUGUACAGCUUUGUGAACUUUCAUGACAUGUCUUCAUGUAACCACUGCUCCAGUCAGGAGGCAGGAUUGUUCCAUUUCACAAAGGCUGUCCCCCCACAAUCACCCCACCCCAACCCAUGCUAUGGGAACCGAGUAUCUGUUCUCCAUCACUUUUGGAGAAUGUUGUACAGGUAGAAUCGUACCUUUCGAGAUUGGUCUUUUUCACUCAUUCUAAUGACCUUGAGAUCCAUCCAAACAGUCUGUGCCUUUUCACUGCUGCGUAAGUAGCCCUCUAUAUGGGUGCCCCAAGUCUGUUUAUCCAUUUAUCCCUUGAGAGAUAUUUGAGUGGCUGUCAAUUCUUUGGCUAUUACAAAUAGAGCUGCUCUGAAAGUUCAUGUACAUUUUGUGUUAGCCAUUUUCAUUUCUCAAAGAAUAAAUACCUAAAAUUGUGAUUGUUGAGUCAGAUGUGAAGUUAUGUUUAACUUAAAAAAAAAAAACUGUCAAGCUAUUUUCUCUAGUGUCUGUACCAUUUUACAUUUCCACCAAUAAUGCAGGAGGGAUCUGGUUUCUUUGCAUUGCUGUUUUUUUUAAUUUUUGCUAUUCUAAUAGAUGUGAAGUGACAUCUCAUGGUGGCUUUAAUUUGCAUUUCCCUCAUGGCUAGUGAUGUUGGACAUCUCUUCAUGUAUUUAUUUAUUACCUGUAUAUUCUCUUUGUUCCAUUGCAGCUCAGCGGGUUAAGAACCCGACUAGUAUCCAUGAGGAUGCGGGUUCGAUGCCUGACCUUGCUCAGUGGUUUAAGGAUCCUGAAUGGCUGCAAGCUGCAGUGGUUGCAGGUGCAGCUUGGAUCCAUGUUGCUAUGGCUGUGGCAUUAGGCCAACAGCUACAGCUCAGAUUGCACCUUUGUGUGGGAACUUCCAUAUGCAGCAAGUGUGGCCCU